UAGUCUACGCCGUAAACGAUGGAUACUAACAGCUUGGGGAUUCGACCCCCUGAGUUGUAAAGCUAACGCGUUAAGUAUCCCGCCUGGGGAGUACGAUCGCAAGAUUAAAACUCAAAGGAAUAGACGGGGACCCGCACAAGCGGUGGAGCGUGUUCUUUAAUUGGAGGAUACGCCAAGAACCUUACCAAGGCUUGACAUCCUGUGAAUUUUUCCGAAAGGAAAGAGUGCUUUUGAACACAGUGACAGGUGCUGCAUGGCCGUCUAAAGCUCGUGUUGUGAAAUGUUUGGUUAAGUCCAUCAACGAGCGCAACCCUUAUGAAUAGUUGAAUUUUUCUACUCAGACUGCCUCGGUAACGGGGAGGAAGGAGGGGUCGACGUCAGGUCCGUAUUGCCCUUACGCCUUGGGCUAGAAACGCGCUACAAUGGCCGGUACAAUGGGCAGCUAACCCGCGAGGGGGAGCAAAUCCUAUCAAAGCCGGUCUCAGUUCGGAUUGGAGGCUGAAAUUCGCCUCCAUGAAGUUGGAAUCGCUAGUAAACGUAGGUCAGAA
rnacentral:rRNA from 1 species